rnacentral:rRNA from 1 species
CCUACGGGGGGCUGCAGUGAGGAAUAUUGGUCAAUGGGCGGAAGCCUGAACCAGCCAAGUAGCGUGCAGGAUGACGGCCCUACGGGUUGUAAACUGCUUUUAUACGGGAAUAACGCGCCUUACGUGUAGGUCUUUGCAUGUACCUUAUGAAUAAGGACCGGCUAAUUCCGUGCCAGCAGCCGCGGUAAUACGGAAGGUCCGGGCGUUAUCCGGAUUUAUUGGGUUUAAAGGGAGCGUAGGCCGCAUGUCAAGCGUGCUGUGAAAUGUCCGGGCUCAACCCGGGCCUUGCAGCGCGAACUGGCGGGCUGGAGUCCGCGGAAAGCAGGCGGAAUUCGUCGUGUAGCGGUGAAAUGCUUAGAUAUGACGAAGAACCCCGAUUGCGAAGGCAGCUUGCUGCAGCGGAACUGACGCUGAUGCUCGAAAGCGCGGGUAUCGAACAGGAUUAGAUACCCCAGUAGUC